UACGAGGGGGGCAAGCGUUGUUCGGAAUUAUUGGGCGUAAAGGGUGCGUAGGCGGUUUGGUAAGUCUGAUGUGAAAUCUAUGGGCUCAACUCAUAGUCUGCAUCGGAAACUGCCGGGCUUGAGUGUGGGAGAGGUGAGUGGAAUUCCUGGUGUAGCGGUGAAAUGCGUAGAUAUCAGGAGGAACACCUGUGGCGAAAGCGGCUCACUGGACCAUAACUGACGCUGAUGCGCGAAAGCUAGGGGAGCAAACAGG
rnacentral:rRNA from 1 species